CACGUGAGCGGAGGAGCUGUGCCUAGCCGGCGACUCAUAGAUUGUGCAAUACCCAUGAGCACACGUCUGCGGAGUGAGAAGGCUGACAAUAAGAUAUGAAUUCCUUUCAUAAUCUGAUAGGAUCUGGCAGAUUGUAUGGACAGACCAAAAGAAGACUGUAUUCCUCACAGUUCAGGGAAGAAGAUAUAAUUGCUAAUAUUGCCAAUUGAUACUAAUACUAGUAUCAAUCGGAUGUAAUAAUUGAUAAUGAAAUAUAGUCAACUAAGUACUAAAUUAUUAAAAUUAAUCUACUUAUAUCAGUAUAUAAGCAUACGUGCAUAUACAUGCCUCUAUACAUAUUUAAUGCGAUUGUGCAUUGCUGUGACAUGAGUGUAGGUGCUAUAUCUAAAAUUUCGCAGAACCCUUGACUUGUUUCUGUAUUAUUCAUUGGAAGGAGCGUCAUUCAGAAGCUAUGCUCUAGAGGUGAAACUGUUUCAGAAAUAUCAAUAAUGUGAGGCUCAAUUAUUCAUCCACUAAUUAAUUAUUUAAAGAUGUUAUAUAUAAUAUACACAGUGCACAACCUUAAGCUUACAGCUUUGUCAGUUUUAGUAGUUAUGUGGCCCAGAAAACUACCAUUAGAGAAGAAUACAUUGUAUUUCCCAUCUCCUAAAAAGCUUCAGUUUGGCUUCCUUUCCUGUCUGCUUAUGCUAUUAUUGCUACCACAUUCUGAUUUUUUUU
rnacentral:lncRNA from 1 species